UCCCGUUAUCCUUAUCUUCCCAUCUCUCUAUUAUUACUCCUCUCCCGGAACCACCAGAAAGAAAAACUAUUUUCUUUCUCGUGAACCUUCUUCAUCUCUCCUAAAUCCUAAUCGAUCUUCUCAUGAACCUAUAGAUCGGAUGAUCUCUAUCAGAGAUUGAUUAUUGAUAAAUCAAACAACCCUCUUCUAUUUAUAUAUCUGCUCUAUCUGUCUCUUUAAAAAAAGUUGGUGUUCCUGCUGCUACAGUCUACAUCUUCUUCUUCUUGAAAAAAAUUCCUUCACAAGAGACCCAGAUCCCCUUUCCUUCACAAUCAGAAAACCCUAUUUCGGAUUUUUAUUAUCGCGGUCGGAAAUCCCUAACUUUCUCUCUCGAAAAUCAAAAGAUUUGGGUUUGAUGUUGAAGUUGUCUCUGAAAAGGGCAUCAUAUCCAGCUCAUAUAAGAAAGAAAGCCCUCUCAGUUCUGAUGCCAUCUUCAGACAGGAUUGUGAGAGAGAUAUUGCAAAGGCCGGAGAUGAUGCUCCAUAUGAGGUUGAGUAUGAAAACAUCAAACAGUUUUCCUGGGCUCUUGUUCACACAAGAUGACCAAAUGAUGCCCAACGAGGAAUAGCUAUGGUCGAAGGGACUGAGCCAACUUGUGAAAGGUAGACUUGACCAACUUCAUAUCAGGGAUAUGCUUUAUAUUCGCUCACUUGAACACUACAUAAGUCGUGACUUUAUAAAGAGCUUGAACAGCGUGGGUCUUUGUUUGGAGGAUGCACCAGACUUCUGGCAAGUUUGGUACCUGAUGCGAACAAUAUUAAAUUGGACGGAAACAGACGAGUUACUUGGGGCAUUUUUUAUGUGCUACUACUGUAGUUGUGCCAGUUAUUAUGAAAGCAAGAUCGGUUCGCAAGGCAUGAUAUGGCUCAAAACCAUUCAGUGGCAUCUAAGAAAUGAUACAGUUCAAGAUCACUUUAUUUUAUUUAUUUUUCCUGCAUGACAAACUCCCCACUCUAAUCCCCUAGCUCAUCAAUUAAACAUUUGCGAUUAUUUUUCUUUGCCAACUUUGAUCGAAAUUGUUUAAAAGUUUCUGUGAACUACGCAAUAUUAUUGGAAGUAUAUAUCUGUAAAUUGGAUUGUGAUAACUUAUAUAAUGCAGUGUUAACUAUUCUGGAUGGAAUUUUAAGUUCAUGGAGUUGUUUGUAUAGGACUAGGUACCAUUAAAGAUUUCUUUCCAUUUAUUCAAAUGCAUGUUCAUAUUAGAGGAUGUUAAGAGAGUUAAGUGCAAGUCACCUACCUGUAAAAUGCAAUAAUCAUGUUCUUACUUGAUAAUGUGGUCUUGCUAAUCGGUCUUACUAAUCAAUCACUAUUUUUUUAGAUUGUUAUUUGGCAUUCAUGUACCGAAAGGAAAUAGCAUUCCAAUGGUAUGCAAGUACUUCUGAGAGCACAAGUGUGGUAUACCAAGUUGGCCAGACUUCAGUAACUUGCCAACUCCUUGGUACACCCGCAUUAUGAAGUAGGAAUAAGUUCUUCAUCAUCAUCAUCGGAGUUUACAUUUUGCUGUGUACUAGUUUUUCAGUUCAUCGUUUUGUAACCGAAUCCUAGAACUUAGUUAAUUUUCUUGUAAGACUACACUGGUCAGAACUCUAGAUUUUAAUCCUUUGUGUAAUUUGAAACCAAUG